rnacentral:rRNA from 1 species
GACGAACGCUGGCGGCGUGCCUAAUACAUGCAAGUAGAACGCACAGUUUAUACCGUAGCUUGCUACACCAUAGACUGUGAGUUGCGAACGGGUGAGUAACGCGUAGGUAACCUGCCUGGUAGCGGGGGAUAACUAUUGGAAACGAUAGCUAAUACCGCAUAAUAUUAAUUAUUGCAUGAUAAUUGAUUGAAAGAUGCAACUGCAUCACUACCAGAUGGACCUGCGUUGUAUUAGCUAGUAGGUGAGGUAACGGCUCACCUAGGCGACGAUACAUAGCCGACCUGAGAGGGUGAUCGGCCACACUGGGACUGAGACACGGCCCAGACUCCUACGGGAGGCAGCAGUAGGGAAUCUUCGGCAAUGGACGAAAGUCUGACCGAGCAACGCCGCGUGAGUGAAGAAGGUUUUCGGAUCGUAAGCUCUGUUGUAAGAGAAGAACGGGUGUGAGAGUGGAAAGUUCACACUGUGACGGUAUCUUACCAGAAAGGGACGGCUAACUACGUG